CCUACGGGAGGCAGCAGUGGGGAAUAUUGGACAAUGGGGGGAACCCUGAUCCAGCCAUGCCGCGUGUGUGAAGAAGGCCCUCGGGUUGUAAAGCACUUUCAGUGAGGAAGAAAGCCUGGUGGUUAAUACCCAUCAGGAAAGACAUCACUCACAGAAGAAGCACCGGCUAACUCCGUGCCAGCAGCCGCGGUAAUACGGAGGGUGCGAGCGUUAAUCGGAAUUACUGGGCGUAAAGCGCGCGUAGGUGGCUUGAUAAGCCGGUUGUGAAAGCCCCGGGCUCAACCUGGGAACGGCAUCCGGAACUGUCAAGCUAGAGUGCAGGAGAGGAAGGUAGAAUUCCCGGUGUAGCGGUGAAAUGCGUAGAGAUCGGGAGGAAUACCAGUGGCGAAGGCGGCCUUCUGGACUGACACUGACACUGAGGUGCGAAAGCGUGGGUAGCAAACAGGAUUAGAUACCCUAGUAGUC
rnacentral:rRNA from 1 species